AUUGAACGCUGGCGGCAGGCCUAACACAUGCAAGUCGAACGAGUGGCGGACGGGUGAGUAAUGUCUGGGAAACUGCCCGAUGGAGGGGGAUAACUACUGGAAACGGUAGCUAAUACCGCAUACCAUCGGAUGUGCCCAGAUGGGAUUAGCUAGGAGGUGGGGUAACGGCUCACCAAGGCGACGAUCCCUAGCUGGUCUGAGAGGCGGACCAGCCACACUGGAACUGGGACACGGUCCAGACUCCUACGGGAGGCAGCAGUGGGGAAUAUUGCACAAUGGUCGCAAGCCUGAUGCAGCCAUGCCGGGUGUAUGAAGAAGGCCUUCGGGUUGUAAAGUACUUUCAGCGGGGAGGCGUUACCCGCAGAAGAAGCACCGGCUAACUCCGUGCCAGCCGCCGCGGUAAUUC
rnacentral:rRNA from 1 species